rnacentral:rRNA from 1 species
CCUACGGGGGGCUGCAGUGGGGAAUAUUGGACAAUGGGGGAAACCCUGAUCCAGCAAUGCCGCGUGUGUGAAGAAGGCCUGCGGGUUGUAAAGCACUUUCGGUUGGGAAGAAAAGUUUGGCGCCAAUACCGCCGAACCUUGACGUUACUGACAGAAGAAGCACCGGCUAACUCUGUGCCAGCAGCCGCGGUAAUACAGAGGGUACAAGCGUUACUCGGAAUCACUGGGCGUGGUCCGUGAGGAGGUGUUCGAAAUCCCCGGGCUGAACCUGGGAACUGCAUUCGAUACUACAUGGCUAGAGUAUGGUAGAGGGAAGUGGAAUUUCCGGUGUAGCGGUGAAAUGCGUAGAUAUCGGAAGGAACACCAAUGGCGAAGGCAGCUUCCUGGACUAAUACUGACACUGAGGCACGAAAGCGUGGGUAGCAAACAGGAUUAGAUACCCCGGUAGUC